rnacentral:rRNA from 1 species
AGUGAACGCUGGCGGCAUGCCUAACACAUGCAAGUCGAACGAGAUUUUUCUGAGAUUACAUCAAGGGAAAGUCGAGUGGCAGACGGGUGAGUAAUACGUGGACAAUCUUCCUUCGAGAGGGGGGAUAACCCCGGGAAACCGGGGCUAAUACCGCGUGAGACCACGUCCCCGCAUGGGGACGGGGCUAAAGCUCCGCAAGGGGCGCUUGAAGAGGAGUCCACGGCCUAUCAGCAGUUGGUGAGGUAACGGCUUACCAAGGCUACGACGGGUAAGCGGUCUGAAAGGACGACCGGCUCACAAUGGCACUGAGACACGGGCCAUACUCCUACGGGAGGCAGCAGUGGGGAAUUUGCGCAAGUGGGGGAAACCCUGACGCAGCGAUGCCGCGUGGAGGACGAAGGUCUCGGAUUGU